UACGUAGGGGGCAAGCGUUGUCCGGAUUUAUUGGGCGUAAAGAGCAUGUAGGCGGCCUUACAGGUCAGCUGUGAAAACUCGAGGCUCAACCUCGAGACGUCGGUUGAAACCGUAUGGCUAGAGUCCGGAAGAGGAGAGUGGAAUUCCCGGUGUAGCGGUGAAAUGCGCAGAUAUCGGGAAGAACACCCGUGGCGAAGGCGGCUCUCUGGGACGGUACUGACGCUGAGACGCGAAAGCGUGGGGAGCGAACAGG
rnacentral:rRNA from 1 species